UCUUGGUUUCUCCAUCUAUGUUAAUUGAGAGUUUUGCAGGAUACAGUAACCUGGGCUGGCAUUUGUGUUCUCUUAGGGUCUGUAUGACAUCUGUCCAGGAUCUUCUGGCUUUCAUAGUUUCUGGCGAAAAGUCUGGUGUGUUUCUGAUAGGUCUGCCUUUAUAUGUUACUUGACCUUUUCCCCUUACUGCUUUUAAUAUUCUUUCUUUAUUUUGUGCGUUUGGUGUUUCGACUAUUAUGUGACGGGAAGUGUUUCUUUUCUGGUCCAAUCUAUUUGGAGUUUUGUAGGCUUCUUGUAUGCUUAUGGGUAUCUCUUUCUUUAGGUUAGGGAAGUUUUCUUCUAUGAUUGUGUUGAAGAUAUUUCCUGGUCCUUUGAGCUGGGAGUCUUCACUCUCUUCUAUACCUAUUAUCCUUAGGUUUGAUCUUCUCAUUGAGUCCUGGAUUUCCUGUAUGUUUUGGACCAGUAGCUUUUUCCGCUUUACAUUAUCUUUCACAGUUGAGUCGAUGAUUUCUAUGGAAUCUUCUGCUCCUGAGAUUCUCUCUUCCAUCUCUUGUAUUCUGUUGGUGAAGCUCAUAUCUACAGCUCCUUGUCUCUUCUUUUGGUUUUCUAUAUCCAGGGUUGUUUCCAUGUGUUCUUUCUUGAUUGCUUCUAUUUCCAUUUUUAAUUCCUUCAACUGUUUGAUUGUGUUUUCCUGGAAUUCUUUCAGGGAUUUUUGUGACUCCUCUCUAUGGGCUUCUACUUGUUUAUUUAUGUUUUCCUGGAAUUCUUUCAGGGAUUUUGGUGACUCCUCUCUAUGGGCUUCUACUUGUUUAUUUAUGUUUCCCUGGAAUUCUUUCAGGGAUUUUUGUGACUCCUCUCUAUGGGCUUCUACUUGUUUAUUUAUGUUUUCCUGGAAUUCUUUCAGGGAUUUUUGCGAUUCCUCUCUGUAGGCUUCUACUUGUUCUCUAAGGGAGUUUUUCAUGUCUUUCUUGAAGUCCUCCAGCAUCAUGAUCAAAUAUGAUUUUGAAACUAGAUCUUGCUUUUCUGGUGUGUUUGGAUAUUCUGUGUUUGCUUUGGUGGGAGAAUUGGGCUCCGAUGAUGCCAUGUAGUCUUGGUUUCUGUUGCUUGGGUUCCUGCGCUUGCCUCUCACCAUCAGAUUAUCUCUAGUGUUACUUUGUUCUGCUAUUUCUGACAGUGGCUAGACUGUCCUAUAAGCCUGUGUGUCAGCAGUGCUGUAGACCUGUUUUCCUGUUUUCUUUCAGCCAGUUAUGGGGACAGAGUGCUCUGCUUUCGGGCGUGUAGUUUUUCCUCUCUACAGGUCUUCAGCUGUUCCUGUGGGCCUGUGUCUUGAGUUCACCAGUCAGGUGGCUUGGAGCAGAAAAGUUGGUCUUACCUGUGGUCCCGAGGCUCAAGUUUGCUUGUGGGGUGCUGCCUAUGAGCUCUCCGUCGGGGCAGCAACCAGGAAGAUCUGCGCCACCCUUUCCGGGAGCUUCUGUGCACCAGGGUUCCAGAUGGCGUUUGGUGUUUUCCUCUGGUGUCAGAGAUGUGUGCAGAGUGCAGUCUCUUCUGGUUUCCCAGGCGUGUCUGCCUCUCUGAAGGUUUAGCUCUCCCUCCCACGGGAUUUGGGUGCAGAAAACUGUUUAUCCGGUCGGUCCCUUCCGGUUCUGGCGGUGUCUCAGACACAGUGGAUCUGCUGCUCCUGGACCCUCCUCUACAGGGACCCAGAGGCCGUAUACAGUUUCCUCUUGGGCCAGGGAUGUGAGCAGGGGUGGGCAGUGUUGGUGGUCUCUUCCACUCUGCAGCCUCAGGAGUGCUCACCUGACCACGCGGUGAGGUCUCUCUCUCUCCCACGGGGUUUGGGAGCAGAGAGCUGCUGCGGGCAGGGACUUCCCUCAUCUUGAACUUUUAAUCUUCCUUUCUCAGCCUUUCAAGGGUUGGAAUUGUAAAUGUGUGUCGCAACACUGAAAAGUCAUUAAAAAAUGACACAUCAUUUAGCUCUAUAAACUUUCCUUGGAUCACUGUUCUAACUUCCAUUCAGUACAACAUCUUUUCAUUUCUUUGUCCUUAGCACUUCCUGUUUGAAUUAUGGAUUAUUUGUAGAUGUUCGUUUUCCCAUAUCUUUCUGCUAUCGAUUUCCAAUUUGAUUCCACUGUUAUUGAGGAAUCCAGUGUGAUUUUAAUGAAAACUUUUUGAGGUUUGUCUUACAGCCCCAAACGUGGCCUACCUUAUGGCUGAUGCUCUGUAGGCAGGGGAGAGAACACGAGUUCUUCUCAGUGAGCGGAAUGGUGCACAACUUCCAGUCAGGUCCUAUUAGUUUAUGAUGGUAUUGGACUGUUCUAUAUUCUUUCUUAGUUUUCUUUUCUUCAAGUCAGUAUUUAGUUAUUAUUAGUUAUUAUUAUAGCGAGUAUGGGCAUACCUCUGCCAUGGCAUGGGUGUGCUAUGGUGCAUAUGAAAAGCUCAGAGACAAUACUGAGGCGUUUAUUCCCUUCUUCUACAAUACGAGGCCAAAUAUCUAUCUAUCUAUUUAUCUAUCUAUCUAUCUAUCUAUCUAUCUAUCUAUCUAUCUAUCUAUCAUCUAUCUAUCAUCUACCUAUCUAUCAUCUAUCUAUCUAUCUAUCUAUCUAUCUAUCUAUCUAUCUAUCUAUCUAUCUAUCUAUCAUCUACCUAUCUAUCAUCUACCUAUCUAUCAUCUAUCUAUCUAUCUAUCUAUCUAUCUAUCUAUCUAUCUAUCUAUCCAUCCAUCCAUUUACUUUUACAUUAAGACCACAGUUUCCCCUCCCUCUUCUCCUCCCAGGCCCUGACCUGAUCCACCUACUCCUCCUCUACUUUUCUUCAGAAAAGCGCAGGCCUCCUCCCAUGGAUAUCAACCAGCCAUGGCAUAUCAUGUUGCAGUAAGACUGCGUUCCUCCUCUCCUCUUAAGGCUGGAUGAGGCAAUCCAGUAGGAGAAAAGAGUCCCUUCCUAUGGGGCUGUCUGUGACUCAGUUGCAAGGUCCCUUUCGCACGGUCACAUUGCAUGCUCCAAGUAAGCUGAUUCCAAGUUUCUAGGUGCUUCUCUUGUUUCUGCCUCCCAUCCUGGCAGAGAUUGUUGGGAUUAGAGAUUCGUGCCUCUGCCUGUUUAAGAAUCUACUACAGUGGUCGUUUUUCCAAUUUUGAAUGAAAUGUUAAUAGAUGCUUUUUCUUAAGCCUCAGCUUUUCCAUUUUGAACACAGCUGUAUUAAAUAUUUGCUCUAUAGACAUUAAAAAAAAUCCUCCAUACUGCGUUUUGUUCUCAAUGUUUCCCAGAUUCCUACCCUUACAAUUAUUUCCUGUUUGGAGACCUUCCAUUAGCUCUUCUUUGGGAUCUGUUGGUGACAAACUCUCAGUUCUCUUCAUGUGACAUCUUGGUCAUCCUCCCCUCCUCCCAGAAUGAUGUUUCUGUUAGUUACAGAACUGGGAGUCAUCAGUACAUUUUCAUUCAACACUUGAAAAAUUAUCCCUGCUGGGCAGUGCUGGCACGUGCCUUUAAUCCUAGCACUUGGGAGGCAGAGGCAGGCAGAUCUCCAAGUUAGAGGCUAGCCUCAUCUACAGAGUUCCAGGACAGCCAGGGCUACACAGUGAAAUCUUGUUUUGAAGAAAUGAACAAGAAAAAGAAGAAGGGAAAAAUGAAAAAAGGAGAAAGAGAAAAAGAAAAAUGUUAUCCUUCCUGGUGUCUGGUGAGAGAACACUGCCUUCACGUUCUCUCCCCUCCACAGAGUAUUCCUUGCCUCCAGCAGGGCCUGCCCUGUGUGUAGUUGUCCUAUAUCAUCCACGGUGUGGGUUGCUUUGCAUUUAUCCUUUAAAACUUGUUCAGGUCCUCAGGUCCAUAGUUAUGCCUUCUCUAAAUUUGGGAAGUUUUAAGCCAAUAUUUCUUUCUUUCUUUUUUUUUUUUUCCGGAGCUGGGGACCGAACCCAGGGCCUUGUGCUUGCUAGGCAGGUGCUCUACCACUGAGCUAAAUCCCCAACCCCAAGCCAAUAUUUCUUAAAGUCUCUUUCAGCUCUGCCCUCUUUCUCCUCUCCUUUCAAGACUCUGAUAACACGUUAGGAUUUGUUUGUUGUGUCACUGUUUCUCAUAUCCUCAUUGUUAAUUUUUAUUACCAUUUCUUUAAAUUUACUGUUUUCUUCCUGAUUCUUUGCAUCUUUUGUUUUUAAACUUGCUUAGACAUCCAGAUUCCUUAGACAUUCAGGAAUGCGUAUGAAUUGCUCACUGAAGCAUUUUAAUGCUGAUUACUUUGUCAGACACCUCAGGAUACUGGUGUUCUUGUCUCUUAUGCUUGGAGCCUGGAAUGUGCCCCACAGGCUCAUGGAUUUGAAUAGCCGAUUGACAGCAGGUGGUGCUGUCUCAGGGGCUGGGUUGUGGGAUCUUUGUGAUGAGUGGUUAUGCUCACUCCUGGUACAAGACAAAACUUGCAGCCUUUUGAUUGGCUGAGAUGGAAACAGGCUUCACUACUUGCUUUUACUGCAGUACCUUUUCCAUUGUGAUGGACCACACUCCUUGAAAUCUUGAGCCGAAAUAAGUCCUCCCUUCCUUAAGUUGCAUCUGUUGAGUUUUUGUCACAGUGAGGGGGAAAGUCACUAUUAGACCACCACUAGAUACUGUCUGCCUCUCUCCAGUUUUCAGAAGAUUGUAGUUCAUAUAUAGAGUCUAGUGUGUUAGUUAAAAUAGUUAACAGUUGUUUCAUUCCUGAGAGGUUGAGGAUUCAGUAGCUGCUUGGAACAGUCCUCAAGUGGCUGUCUCAUAUUGGAGAGGCCUACAACCGGUAGCUGCUCAGUCCACAGGCUUGGUGCCUCAGUAGUCCCCAUCUGUCAUGGGAAACCAGAAAGGUCUCUGAGGAGGGGCUGGUCCUCAGUCAUAGAGCCUGGCAGUUCUGUUCCUAUAUCAUUGAAGGAAUAUCUCCAGCAGCAACAGGGAAAGCUGAAGAGGCAAGACAGUAAGUAAGUCAAGCCACCCAAAAUUAACCUUCCCAUUGCUAUGCUCUCCUAAAAGAGAAUUCUGUGCUAUGAUCAGAAGGUGCCAUGCAUACUGUAGGGUCCUCCUGAAUCAAGAAAGGCAAUGCUUCAGGUGAGGCUCCCUACUCAGAUGACUCUAAUUUGUGGCAAGUUGACAUUAAAAUCAACCACCACACCUAGGAUGUUUAGUUGAACUGAGUGGAAGGGAUAGAAAAAUGAUGUCUAUUCACACUCUGCAUGAAGUACAAAUUCAGCAUUCUUCUUUUUGUUUUGCACAUGUAUGUGUGUGGUGUGUGUGUAUAUGUAUUUGUUCAUGUGUAUUCAUGUGCACGUGUGUGUACUUUUGUGUAUUGAGGCUGGACAUUGACAUUGACUGUCUUCCUCAGUUAUUUUUCAUCAUUUUUUCAAGACAGAAUCUCUCACUGAAUUUGGGGGGGAGGGGUUACUGAUUCUGAUAGAUAAGCUGGCCAGAGAACUCUAGGGUCCCACCUACCUCUGUCCUCCCAGCAUGAAGGUGUGCUUUUUACACAAGUACUAGUGAUCCAAAUUAAGAUCUCUAUGCAUGGUAAACACUUUGCUGAUGGACCCAUCUCUCCAGUCCAUCAGUAUUCCUCCUGACCCCUCACAAAAAUGAUCAUGAUGAUUUAAAUUGUGCCUCAGAUCCUGGAGAAGGACAGCUUUUAUAGAAUUUAAAAUCAUUGACUAUUAAAAAUAAAAAAGAUUGUAUUUAAUAUGUGUGAGUGUUUGUUUGCAUGCCUGUAUGUACACCAUAUGUAUGCUUGGUACCAUCAAUGUCAGGAUAUGGCCCCAGAUCCCUUGGGAAUGGAGUUAUAGAUGAUUAUGAAUAAACAUGUGGGUGCUAGGAAGCAAACCCAGGUUCUUUGUAAGAACAACAAGUGCUCUUACCCACUGGGCCAUCUCUCCAACCCCAAAUUUAAUUGCUAUAUUUUAGGUGUACAUGUAUUUAAUAUUUGCUAUUAGGUAUUCAGUAGCUCUAACUGAAUAUUGUAAGCUGCUUUCCAAAUGUCAUUUCAUGCAGCCCUUACAAUCACUCUUUAUGUAGGUACAGUUUUUAUCUGAGACUACACAGAACUGAAACUCAGGCUCAGAAAGUAAAGGCAAGGCUGAGCCUUGAGACCCUGAGACCAACUCUUGUUCUCUAUAAACUGUCUCCAAGUACCUUCAUGGGCCAAUAGGAUCCUAACAGGUACUGGUGAUCAUAAUGCUUUUCUGCCUGGGAGACCUGACAGACUGCUGAAGUACUGAAGGGAUUUGGCCAAAAUCUUACUUGCUAAUGGUAUUGCCACCUUUGAGAUUCUCACUGAAUCAGGCCCGAAUUGGGCCAGUUUCUUAGGGCCAUCAUUUCUAGUUUCCAAACCUAAAUGAGUUCUCUCUCUCUCUCUCUCUCUCUCUCUCUCUCUUUCUCUUUUUUUGAGCUGAGGACUGAACCCAGGGCCUUGUGCUUGCUAGGCAAGUGCUCUACCACUGAGCUAAAUCCCCAACUCCGAGUCAUUUCUCUUAAAAAGGAUCUAUUCUACUCAUCUUUUGCAGGACUUGGGGUUGAUUAAAAGUCUGGGCCAGCUUAUUCAAAGUAGACUUGAGUUUGUGAUCUUGUGUGUAUGUCUCUCUACUCCCAACCCCUCAUUCCUGAGUUUGAACCCAGGCCUUGUGACCUGAAUCUUGAUUUUUUUCUUUCGAGAAAGAGUCUUAUGUUGUCCAAGGCAUCCUUGAACUCACUAUGUAGCUGAGGGUGGUUUCGAACUUCUGAUCCUUCUGUCUCUACUCCAGAGUGCUAGGAUCUGCUAGCAGAUCACACUGAGAACCCUGAGAUUGUGUUACUUACUGGAAAAACCUGCUUUUAGUUGCAGCAUGGCUCAGUCUUUGCACACACCUUUAAUCCAAGAGCUUUCUGCUCGAAUAUUGUAGGCAGGAUUAAAUGAAGUCAACCAUAGGUCAAGAGGCAGAGCAAGUAACCCAUUGACAGGAAGUGAAAUAGGAUUAUCAAGACAAAACCAUAGAGAGUAAGAGGGAGUCGGGAGGAUGGAUAGAAAGAUGCACAGGGAGCAGAAGGGGGGCAUUCAGUAUGAAGGAGGUUGUUUGAGCUGGUGUGAGAGGGACAUUCCUUCUGGGAUGGAUUCCUCUGAGGAAGAGGGUGAGUUGACUGAUUUCUCUGUCUCUGAGCUAGCAAGCUUUCACUCCAGCAUCUGGCUCCAGAGUCUUCACUGGUAAAAAUCAAACAAUGGGGAUUUUGUUAAACAACAAGGACUUAUGGGCUUGCGUCUCUGUGUGUAGUUUUAUGUGGUGCUGAGGAUCUAACCCAGUGUGUUGUGUGUGCUAGGCAAGCGCUCUCCUAACCACAUUACACCCUAGCCCUAGUCUGGGUCUUUAAGCAACAGAUGAAGAAAAUCUCCUCCCAUCCAAGGAGCUCUGUGACCUUGCCCAGGAAGGCCUGUGAAAAGUAGUUUGCUAUAUGGAUUCUGUGAAAGAUAGUUUCCUCGUAUGGAUUCUUCAGCGCAGGAGCCCUGGUUUUAAAAACAAACACCAAACAUUUGUCUUGGACCUUGACCAACUCCACCAAUCUGAUAUUCUCUCUUAAGCACAGUUAUGAGUCUAAAGUAUGUGAUAAAGGAGAAAAGGAGCAAACUUCAGACUUCACAUCUUUGUCCUCGUAGGAAAGGAGAUUCCAUUUCUGAACCGGUUGUUUGUGAGGGGCUUGUCCCUUCUGAGGAAGUGACUGGGCUGAGGAGAAUACUGAGGAACCAUUUCUCUUUAUGCCAUACCUGAGGCCUGUAGAAGGACACAGGCAGGAAGUUGAAUUGACAAAUUCCCAGGAAAGUUAAUCUCAUGCAAACACACACACACACACACACACACACACACACACACACACACACACACACACACACAAGAGAAAGAGAGAUAUUUGAGGGAGUGCUAUUUGUAUACUUGUUCAAGUGAAGGAAAAGAGAAUAAAUUUGUUCUUCCUUAGCUCUUGAUGGGUUGGGUGAUACCCACUCACAUGGGUGAAAGUAUAUCUAUAUUACUCAGUCUACUGACUCAAUUUCUGACCUCUUCCAGAAACAUUUUCACAGACACACCCAGGAAUAACUUAUUAGCCGUCUGGGCACCUCUUAGCCUAGUCUCCAGCAUUUAAGAUUCCCAUCAAAGCCUUUAUACUAGACAUUUGUGAGUUCUUGGCAUGAUCAAAAGGCAACUUAAUGUUUUCGUGUGUCUCAUUGCCAUUUAAGGUUAUCUAUGGGUGUAAUGUUGCUGCCUUUUUUUUUUCUUUUCUUUUUUUCGGAGCUGGGGACUGAACCCAGGGCCUUGCGCUUCCUAGGCAAGCGCUCUACCAGUGAGCUAAAUCCCCAACCCCCUAUGUUGCUGCCUUGAAGGAAAGGAAUACACUGUCAACACGUUAGGCUUCCCAGUGCCUUUAUCUAAAAGCUUCGAUGUCCAGAGACAGUUGCUCAUCAAAAUUCUGAGCUAGACUUAAUGCUAAUCAUUCUUGAUUAUGGCAGGUAAGCCAUUGGAUGAAUGUUCCAGCGCCAUCAGGGACAGAGAGACAGAGAGAGAGGGAGAGGGGGAAGAGGGAGACAGAGAGGGAGAGGGAGAGGGAGGGGGGGAGGGAGAGAGGGAAGGGAACUAGAGGCAGAGAUGGGGAGAGAACACAGAAGGGGCCUGAGUGACAUCAUGCUUCGUGUGCACAGACCACUCUCCUCCGUGGACAUUGAGUUUUUCGAUUCCCACUAGCCUCCUUUCUGUAAAUCCCUUGAGCCAGAGGCUGUAUUUUUAAUGGACAAGAACCUGAAGAAAGGACACCUAUAUGAUACUAAGUUUUUCUUGUUUUAAACAUCCCAUUCUUCUGAUUGUGAAUUUCAGAGCACAGAUCCAGUCAGUGAAAAAUCAAAACUACAAAUAACCCGAGGCAAAUCAGCACCAUGAGGUGCUAAAUGGAAUCGGAAAAUGUUAUGUUUACAAACCACACUGUUUACGUUUGGCACAUCGUUUUGGCCUGAGCAUUGUGAAUGAUAGGCAGCCCACGCAGGCAUGGUGCAGUGCCAUUGGACAUGCUAUGUACUAUAAGGCAAUAUUUGUUACAAUUCUCUGCCUGUGUCCAUAUUCCCAUGACUAUAAAUGGGUGCUUACUUUUAGCUGCAGGUCUCGGUAGUCCUCUUGUCCUCUUCGGUUUAUACAGUCCUUUGACCUUAGGUGAACCUAAGCCCAGUCCUAAUGCUUUCUUCUGGGAUAAUAUUUAAUACCUGGGGAUUCUAUGCAUUCUUGUCUAAUUUCCAUCCACCUACCUCCCCAGGGCCAUGUGUAUCUUUCCUUUUGCACAAGUGAGUUCAGAUGCCCUGUCUCUGUCUCCUAGUAUUAAGAGCAUCAGCAAAGGUUUUCUUAGAAUGUAUUGUGUGCACAUGUGUGCAUAUAUGUACAUGUGUGUAUGGUAUGUGUGGGUAUAUGAGAGAGAGAGAGAGAGAGAGAGAGAGAGAGAGAGAGAGAGAGAGAGAGAGAGAGAGAGAGGUUGUGAAUGUGGGCAUGUGCGUCAGUGAGCCGAUUCUGGCCUUCCACUUCGUUGGGUCAGAACCUUGCUUGUUUUUGCUGCCACCACCUCUUCAUACUUCAGGCUGGCACGUAAAUGAGCUUCGAAGCUAGCAAGCAGAUGCUUGGACUGCGUUUGCUUCCUAUCUCUCCUUAAUGGUGUUGGGAGGGUCACUCGGCUUCUCCCUGGAUUUGGGGAUGGAAUUCCCAUUGGGAGUUGGCAGGGCUUGCACCUGACCCAGUGAGCUGUCUUCCACGCCCUUACUUUAGAUUUCCAAGUCCUUUAGAUUGGGUUUAGAGGGAACCUCCAGGGUUGGAGGCAGUGGUGAUUGCAGAGGGGUACUGGCUUUUACUAUGCAAGUUCUUUUGCUGAAACCUUAAUUCUCGCAUGUGGGUUUUCUUUUUCAUUUUAGUUAUAGGCCUUUUCAGUGCUGAACCCUGGCUAAAUCUUCCCCUUAUGCCUUCCAGGUGGAGGCUGGGUUUGGUUACCCCACUUUAUCUUCUUUUGAGAUCUGUUGUCGAAAGCUUUGAAGAUCUGGCCACUAGCAACUGCCUUGGUCUUUAGUGGGGCUUUCUUACAGGUCAAGAUUUGGCUUCAAAUGGACCUUUGCCAUGGAAACAAGUGGGCAUGGCUGAGGUGGCCGAGAGCAUGAAGGGAGAAGCCGGUGAGCAGCCUUGGUGGCACAGUUUGAAACCUGCAGCAGGACUCAGUGGCCAGUGGGCAGGACAGAGACUCUGGCAGAGCUUCGACAGAGAGGAAUGGCAAGGUAGCUGGUGUCCAGGGAACUGAGAAGGAGGAUGGCACUGGGAGGUGGAGGACAGGGUGCCAGAGAAGGCUCCCAUCCAAGUUGUCGGAUCCCCUGAAGUGCUUGGAAAAAUCUACCUGGGAUUCCCUCUGCAUUUACUUUUCUUAAUAAACACAGAGCUCUAAUGGGGGUGAAUUUCAGAAUUUCAGAGGUCAAGAGGACAGGGACUGAGCCGGAAUAGGUACAGUUUCUUUUUCCAGACUUUUUGUUCAAAUGGCUGGAUAAACCAGGGCUGGUUCCUUUGCUCCUAGCUCAGGACCUCUCUGCUGGUAAAAGCUGGCCACAGUCUGAGAUGUGAGCAGGCCCAGGGAGGAGCUCUGUGCACCCUUUCUGACCUGGCCUGAUGCCUGCAUGCUGGCUCAGAUGGGACACACACUUAGUUCUCGUGCUGGGGCAGUGGCCUCAUCUCCUGCAGCCUUCACAUGGCUCCAGCUGACAAUUUAUGGGUGUCCAUUAACUCUGUUAAAAUGCUCAGCUUUUAGGAAGAUCUCUGCUCUGUGGUAGGGAAAGUUGUGACAUUUGCGGGGACAUGUGCUUAGACUUCUCCUGAGUACAGGGCAGGCUCCCGGAGGGACACGGGGGAAGUUCAGGCACCUUUCCAUGUUUACCAACUGCAAACGUCCUCCCAGGAGGUCUUUCCCAAGCUAAGGUACCUCCUUAGCCUCUAGCGAUUGCCUUACAGUGUGGCAUAGUCUCUGGGAUCUGCCUGGCCCUCUUGCCUCUUGUACCUGCCCUCCUAUUCCGUUUCUGAUGGAGGGAAGGACAGUUUAUGAUAAAUCUAGACUAGCGGUUCUUAAACCUAAGAAUAUAUGAAAACAUUGCUGAGUCCCAUCCUUAGAGUUUCUCAUGGGGUGGGUACAGGGUCCUGUCUGCAUUUUUAACAAGUCCCCAGGUGUUUGUGAUGCUGGAGUUAGGAGCUACCUGUUGGCAAGUAUGGUCUUGAGCAGUCUGGGACUGGGCAUCUCUUUUGAAAGGUUAGAGAUUACUCAAGCCGAAGCAGAGGAUUGAUUGACUUCAGGAAUAGACCGAGGAGAGGUAGAUUUGGGUGAGAAGUUUUUGAGAGCGUUUCUAAGUAGAGACUAAGUGACUCAGAGCACCAAAUUCCAAGAUAUUCUGGAUUAUAGAUCACUCAAUAUCCAGAGAGUGCCAGGGAGUAAAUUAUUACUCUUAUUCAAUUAAGUACAAAUCAGCCCCAGCUCGGUUCAGGAAACCAGCAGCAGAAUCGGACCCAAGAACAUCAUGGGUUGCUUCUGGGCAGAUGGCUGUGCCUGCUGCGCUGUCUAGGUUUCCAUGGACCAGUGUGCUCACUCAGUGAGCCUCAUGAAUGAGUCCAUGUUGCUGAUGUUGAAGCAUCUGAUAUACAGAUUGCCUAUUGGAGAGGUUGGUGGACCCCAGCUCUCUUUUGGGGACACUUAGCUAUUGAAUAUCUUCUCCCCACCACCACCUCCUCCUCCUAAUCCUUAGAAUGAACAGAAGGGCCACCUUUCCAUUGCUACCUGUAGCAGAGGGCCAGGAUUAAAGCUACUGACUGCUUCAGAAACCAGCCAGGGCCAAGAGCCUGAACUAGGCUCGAGACAGUGAGUCUGUCUACUACACAAGCAGUGGUCAGUGUGAGCACGGGUGAAAAAAAGAGCUGGCAUUGUCUUGAAAUGUGCUUGUCAAAGUAAAGGGUGCAGCUCUGUCUGGGGCUGAGGGAACAAUGCAAGGAUCUGCAGUAUUGGUGCUCAUGGGAUGGAGAGUAGAGAAAAUCUGGGCUGAGCCAGUAAUCUUUCAGCAGAGCUGAAGGAGCAGGGCGGGCUUGGGCUUGGCUAGGGACAGUGAGUCAGAUUGCUGACACCAGGAGAGAACAUAGAAAGUUGUCCCUGAGAGAGAUGGCCAUCUUGAAAAGUGACACUCUGUUGCAAAAUAAACUCUUGGAGGCUUGUUGGCCAGGUAACUGAGGAGGGCCAUGUGAGGACACACUGUCCUUGUAGUAGCUGCCUCUGUCUUCCUUUGCUCUGUCUGAUGCUUCUCUGCAUUUAUUCUUGCAUGUCGGGGUCUGGUGGUAGAGUUUGUGGCUGGAAGGAAGCUGUAUGGUGGGAGAGAAUGAUACUCAGUUCUGUGUAUUUUGGGGGGAGGGUAUAGCUGGACAUUGCACAGCGAAAUAGAACAAGCAGAGAAUUUACAUAGAAAAACCCUGUUGAAUUGCCUAAGGUAGCUGUGACUUGGCAGAAUUGGGAUUUGGUUUCAGGAAUCUGGACUCCAUUUCUCCUACUCAUUGAUGUGCCUUGCCCGAGCUGCCCCAGGCUUCCUCAGAGUUCCCAGAGGGAGUGGGAGUAAGGGAUGGUGCCAUGCUUUUGUGUACAGCUCACCUACACCUAUACUGCUGUUUAUACAGGUGCGUCGCUGCAUAUGCCAUCAAGGUUAAUGAGAGAAGCAAACCCACUGUGAGUCAUGGGAUGAGAGAUCCUUUAGCAAUGAAACCUGUACAGGAUGGCCAGAGUUGGGGAGUAGUCAACUGAAGAAGGAAAGUCACUGAUGGAGCUUGGGGAAAUGGGAGCUGGUGGGAAUGUAGACAAGGGGCCAGACCUGUGAAGAUGGCCGGGAGUCUGUGGAUGGGUGAAAAAACACAUCUUUACUGUGAAGAUGGCCAGUACAGGGGGUGGUCCAUACUCAGAAGAGAUGGGUGAGGAUGGGGAUGGUGAGGACAUGCUCAGAGGUACCUCUUGUGCGAUGGUUUGUCUAUGCUUGGCCCAGGGAGUGGCACUAUUAGGAGGUGUGGCCCUGUUGGAGUAGGUGUGUCACUGUAGCUGUGGGCUAUAAGACCCUCAUCCCAGCUGCCUGGAAGUCAGUGUUCUGCUAGCAGCCUUCAGGUGAAGAUGUAGAACUCUCAGCUCUACCUAUGCUCUGCCUGUCUGGAUGCCACCAUGUUCCAGCCUUGAUGAUAAUGGACUGAACCUCUGAACCUGUAAUCCUGCCCCAAUUAAAUGUUGUCCUUUAUAAGAUUUGCAUUGGUCAUGAUGUCUGUUUAUAGCAGUAAAACCCUAACUAAGACACUCUUGUAAGCACAUGGGAUCAUUUUGCUACCAACAGUGGUAGAUAUCCAUGUCCUCUGCCUCAUAUCUGCUUUCUCCAUUCCUAGGCAACUGACUAGAAUCUACUCAGGGAAAUAGUACCAGGAAAGCCACAGGGAAACUGUGAAUGUCUAGAUUGAUGGUGUUUUCCUCUCCUACCUGUUUUAGUUUACUCAUAAAACUCCCAGCCAAAGAGGAGAGGAGAGGAGAGGAGAGGAGAAGAGAGCAGAGGAGAGAGACCCUAAGAGUUCCAAAAAGUUCUCCAAAAGAACUCUAUCUUUAACCCAAAUUUACUGAUUUUUCUUUUCAAAGCAAAGUUCCUAUAGCUAACCCUGAAAAGCCAUUGUCCUGAGCUCCACAGCAGGGGAUCAAUGCCCUGGUUCAGGCUGGUGUUAUUAUCAGUAUCGCCUGGCAGUUUCAAGGGCCUGCCACUUUGAAUGUCAAAUUUCACCUAGUCACAUGGCCUUCAGCUCCAUACUGAACUUACAGUUGGAGGUAUGAGGAGGAGGAUGGGGAAACCGAGAGUCAGGGAACCAGGACUCCUAGGAUUUCCCUGUGGCUCCUACCACCCUCCCUCUGUCAUCCAGGGUGCCACAAAUGAAGCAGUCAUUGUUGGCUUGUUACACAUUCCUGGGUCUGUUCUUCUGUAGGUUACACUAGUCCCCUGACCUUCUUUCUGUCAAUUUUUGUUUCUCCUGGAGUCCCAUUCAUUGGCCCAUAAGAGUUCUUGAGUUCUUGCUUCACUAUCUUUACAGUUAAUAUACACACCCAUGAGAAGAGAUGUGAUCUUCUCUCCCUAGGAGGUGAUUGGACCUUAACAAAGGGAAAAUCUUUCCUUUUUGUUCCAUCCUGGUACCUAGUGCAUGGGUCCCACCUGCAGUGAUGUCUGAUGACAUCAUGCAGAAUGUUAGACACAGUCAUCUUUCUACUAGCAAGAUUGUGUGAGAAGACACAUUUGAGAAGAGCUGAGAGCUUAGUACACUUUCAUGUAUUUCCCUGCAGCAUUCUCAAGAUUGCAUAUAGCUGGCCCUCUACCCAUAUUUCCCUAGGUGGAGUCAGGAGUCUGCAGAAAUACAAAGGUGAGGAGACCCCGGGGCCUCAGAAAGUGGCAGCAACUGCAUUUCAGCCGUAGGGACCUUGAGGUUAGAAGUAUAAAUGUGCCUGUUGGGCAAAUGUUGGCUUUAGAAAAAGGACUGGUGGCCCAGUGGCAUUCUUUGCCAUUGAUCUUUGCUUGCUAUCCACAAGAGGCUCUCUUGUGACCAAGAACAACAAGCUGUGGCCUGCAGGGACAUCAUUUAUGAUCAUGUGUGUGAUGUAUGGAAUCGUGUAGAGAGGGGCAGAGGGAAAGGGAAGGAGUAAGACAUGGCUAAGACACCAUCUAGGUUGAUGAUUGCGGGACGAUGGACACUGUAGGAGCAUUGGGAUUGAGCUGUCACAGUCUUCUACUCAACAAAAGCUCCCUAGACAAAUGUAUAUCAUAGAAAGGAAAGCCAGGAGGGAGGUGGAGAGCCUGCGGAAUCUCUAUUAGGCAUGGUCAGAUCUGGGAUUCUAGACCUUCUCCUUCCUGCCUUGACCUAGAGGAUAAACUAAUAUCUCGCCCCCUCUCUCCCUUCCUUUUCACACCUAACCCACAACCACAGUCUUACUCUGUCUCCUAGCUGUCAUAAAUAUAUAUCCAGGCUGGUCUCAAACUCAACAUCCUGUUUUCUUAUCUCCAGCUCCUGAUUGCUGGUAUUAUAUGAGUGAGCUUUAUACCGGGCACUGAUGUCUUACAACUAGAAAAGGACUUUGAGUGAAUGGGAGCUGACAUUUAGCUUGGGUCUGAAUCUCUCUCCUUUUUUUUCCUGAGAUUAUGCAGCCCGAAGGUGAUACUCUUACUUUAGGCUCCUACACCUCUGUUCUGUUAUAGUCAAAAAGUUUGCCCAAUGGAUCAGACAGAAGGCUCUGAGGACUCUGUGUGCUGUGUACUUGAUAGUCUGCCUAGGGGUGGAGGGAGCAGAUACCCUGAGAGGGGCUGCUGUGUAUAGUAGAAUUGGUGUAUGAGGUAUGGCUGUGUGAGUGUCUGUGUGGGGUCUGGGUGGGGAAGAGGCCACAGAUGGGGUGUGCACAUCCUAUGUGUGGUCCUCCUGGCCUUGAAGCCCCCCAGGAGGCUCUGGUUUGGAGUCACUGGGCGUUGGAGGCUCUUGGGUUGCUUCCAGCAGGGAUGGUUGGUGUUGAAGGGACCGUCUGAUGGCUGUGGGAAUGGCACCAGUCUGCCUGGUCUCUGAGGUGGCUGAUUUCCUCUGUGUCUCUGGGAGUGGACGGUAGUGUCACAAAUUGCGUGGGAAAAAAAGGCUGCCUGGGGCGGGGCCCAGGCCAGCAGGGGUGUAGACUGGGAGGGGCUGGAGAGGGAGGUGGAUGGCUGAGUCUUUGGAGAAUAAGGAGAAAAGGAUUUGAAAGCCAGGAUAAAGCAUUCCCCUAGCACUUGGCUCUCUUCGUCUAUUAAAAUUAAAGCCAGGCCUCUCCUGGAACGUUCCAUUUGAGAUUCUUCUGGGAAAUUCAAAAGAUUGGGGAGGAGUGGGUGGUGAGUUGGGCUUUUCUGCCUCAGUUGAUAGUGUAUGUGCUGGGCUAGGCAACAGAGCAGUUUGGUAUUUGUUUUAGUUUUGAGUACUCUCUGAGUUCUAGGCCUUGACUUAAUGGAUAUGUAAAAUAGUCACAGUCUGAUGGAGAAUGCAGAUAAAUAAACAUGCUGAUGGGAUAACUCACGCUGGAGAAUGUUAAUUGUAAAUAUGCACGCACCGUUGAUAUACUUAGAGGGUGUGUGUGUGUGUGUGUGUGUGUGUGUGUGUGUGUGUGUGCAUGCGUGCAUGUGUAUGCUGUUCCUUGGAUUUCCACAAAGACAAAUGUAGAUCUACCUAUUGAUCUAUCUAUAAAAAAAUGACUAUUUCCCUACACAGACCAAGUCAUGCAUUGCUUAAUAACUGGGAUGUAUUCUGAGAAGUAGUACGUUGUUAAGCAAUUAUGGUGUGAUCUGAGUAUCACAAAUGCCUUUGUGAUAUGGAUUCAUUACUCCACAAGGCCUCCAGGCCAUCGCAAGACACAAAAAACACAAGACCUAUGAGACCGCAGAUGGGAUGCUUUACUCUGUUUUAUAGCAAACUUGGAUUAGUUUCUAUAAAAUGUAGUUACACCCCAAAGCAACAGGUUGAAAGCACAAUCUAGUUACACACAAACUAACAGGUGAUUGAAUUAUGCUCUCUGGGGCCUACACACGAGCAGUAGAAUUGGUUUGUUGGCACUAACUUCACCACAGAUAUGUGAGUAAUUGGUUUCCAUAUGCAAUCACAAUGGCCACAAUGUUACUAGGCAACGGAGAAGCUGUGCUCCAUUGCUGUCUUCUAGGACCACCACUGCAUAUGCCAUUUGUCAUUGAAUGAGACCUUAUUUGUAGUCCGUGACUCUUGUUCGCAAGCACUUUGAACUGUGGGUGAGCUCGAAGCACGUUGCCACUCUCCUUUUUUUCCAGAUCAAAUAUUCCUUGCAGCAAGCAAGCAAAUGGAGUGACUGGAACUCAGGCAGUCUUCCUUAAAGGUCUUCUCUUAAUAACUCUCUGUAGAGGGAAACCACACCCGGUUUGCCUGGACCUUUCCUGCUCUCUUUCCUCAGAAGCCUCCUCUUUCCCAGCCAACUUGACCAUUCACCCAGCUUGCUGAGAAUCUCUUAUCAACCCAGGCACGUGGAGAAUCUCUACCCCUCAGGCAAACCUGCAGACAAAGACUUGAAGAGCUUAGCUGGAACCCGCUUCCCCGACUCCAUGCUCAGCUUUGUAGAGUGGCUGGCUUGCAACUGGUUCAGUAAAUGUUACAACCA